AUCUUUGCGGUAGAUCUAAUUUUUAAACUCUUAUUUCAUAUUUAAUGCCCUCUGCCCUCUGUUAAAGAUGGAAAAAUCAACAUUUGUGCGAACUAUAUUUAGAUCUCUCAGAAAGAUUGCAGGGAUAAUCCUGAUAAUUUUCCUAAUGGGUGCCCUUUUGCCCCCCUCUCUUCCAUAAAAUGUAUUCCUCCUCAUGGCUUUGUAAGUCCAGCACUCCAGAGAAAAAGUCACAUGUUGGACGAGCAAUCAAGGCCCUGCAUGUCAAAAAGGAAACGGAAAAAGGAGGUUGAAAAAAAUUCAAGUCCUCCCUGAACCCCUUUUUAAUUAUUAUAUAUAGUUUUAAAACUCAGUUUAAAUUUUUCAAAUCAGUUUCAGUGCAUUCAAACGAGUCCCAAUCGAGUACAUUAGUAUAGAGUGUAAAACAAUCAGCUGGAUUCAUAAUGGGAACAGAAAAGCAUGCUGAUUUCACUGACUUUUCCUCACAACGCCGCAGCCAGCUCUGUAAUGGAUUCUGAUGGGGGGGCUUCAUGGUAAACAAAUCUAACCCCCCCUCCCUCGCCCCUCACACCGCCGUGCGGUUUUAUGCCAUCUUUACCAACGAUAUUACAUCAGACUAAUGCAUGCUAUCAAAAAUAAUAAAAACAACCUCAUUUCAUGAAGCAUUUGCACCUCUCUGCCUCUCGCCGAGAGACGCCAGAUAGUUCUGCGUUUGCAGAACUGACCACACUUUGCCGGCCGUCGUUCGACUCGAUCUGUGAUUGCUGGGUAAUUUCACUCUUGUUUUAUGUUGCACUUCAGGAAAAAAAAAAGGAGGCAAAAGAAAAGCAACAGAAUGACAUUUUGGAAAGAAGAAUUGGUGGAAGCUUCAAUCCUGCAGCACGUUGAAGGUUAUUUCCUAAAGCAUUUCAGCAAUUAUCAUUAAGAUGUCAAAAGCAAAUUCGUGUUGUUGCAUCACGAUAAAUGAUUGUAUCUUUUCGCCCCUUUCUUCGUCUUAAGCACCUCUAUUAAAACCAGCUGCAGCACGUUUAGCCCUGUGUGUCCGUGACACCACGACAACGGUGCAGUCCGUGCUGCCGAGACACUGAUGUGAACGUGGACGGAAGCUGACGUAUCCGGCUGCGAGCGAACAUAUAACGAACUCCCGUAAACACUUUUUUUUUUUCCGCCUGUCAUCAAAGUGCAAAACAGACGACCACAAACUUAAUUUCCAUAACCUCUUGAUUUUUAAUAGCCCAAGUAAUUGAGACAAGGGAGACAAUACAUAAAAUAUAGUGCCGAGGCAAAUGUAUUUACAUAAUGGAAACGACAGAAUUGGUUCCACAACAUUAAGCAUUGCAUAUGAGCGCCGCACAAACGCCGGCGCGCACAUUAGCCGUCGGGGCCUUUUGGGGGAGGCGAGAGAUGGGGGUUGUGGUGUGUGUGUGUGUGUGUGUGUGUGUGUUUGCGAGGUGAGGGCUAAUUUAUCAGCGCUGCUGAUUCACUCUGAUAACACAGGACAUUAAGGGGCCCCGGCUCAGGGGGCCGUUUGGAAAUGAACUGUGUCCGUGGCCGGAGCUGGAUCCCACACUUUAGAUAUGUUCUCCCUGUUUUCAUGCGUUUCCUAAAGCGUGUGAUUAUUAUUAUUAUUUUUCCCCUCACUUCAGACUUCAGCACAGAUUAUCCAUAAGCCUGGCCAAAUUUUCAUUUUCUUCCUCCUGGUGUCAAAUCUUUUCCUCAGAAAUGCCAAACGAUUGUCAUCUUCAGAUUUUCACACAAUUAUUUUAAAGCGAAAAGGAGGAAAAAAAAAAAGUCAGAGGGAUUACUGCAUGGCAUUUAGGGCUUAAUCUCUUGAAAAGGCUGCAGAUUAUUUGUAGAUGGACUCGCUAAAACCUUUGUGUGCAUUCAAAAGGCUGCAGCUUCUAUUAAUUUCACUUUUUUUUUUUUUUUUUUUUUUUUUUUGGCAGUCUGACACCAUUUGGUUAAUGCUUUGAAUUCCUAGAAAUCACUGCGUUCCCCCAGCUUUACCUUUAAACAUUUCCAACAGCCCUCUUUUCCUUUCCUCGGACCUCUCUCCGUAUCGGUUUACCGUUUAUUUAUGACCGUGUUUGACCGGCCUUUUAAUCAAUCACAGCCUUUUAGCAUCUCCAAAGGGAUGCCGCUAACACGAAUAAAAUCCGGCGCAGUAACACCUGAGUGGAUGCACCGCAGUCCAGUUUUUUUCCCCAUGAAGGCACUCUGUGGAUUAAUAGCUGUCAAUCAUCUGCGUACGGUUUGACUGUGGGGUACAGUCCUUCCUCUGUAUCCACAAAAAUAAAGCAAUCCAGAGAUUUAUGUACCAACAUUGCUUUUUUAUUUAUUCUUCUUAUAGCUACACUUAUCAGCAUGUGGUCCCAGUACAGUAUAUCAGCAUGUCAUCAAGAGUACCGGUGGGGGGACGUGAAAAACGCAGUGUGUAACAUAAUUUAUGUCACAAUUACCGUUUACGCCUUCAGUUGCAGCGAGGCGGCAGCAGAGGAGUCUGGUUUGGGUUUUUUAAAGGAGAGGAGGGGGGGGGAGAGGGGGAAGGAUGGGAAAGAUGAGGGUCGGGUCACGCAGGAUGAUGAGGGUCCUCCCACAUCCGAUCCCCCCCCCACUUCUCCCGGAAGACAGGUGCCUUAUUGUGUGACAUCCAGAGUGGAAUAAGGGAGCGUGAACUGCAGGCGGUUCAGUUUUCAGCACCGCCGGCAGUGAUAGAGGGGGGCGUCGAGUCGAGGUCAGAGGUCAGGCAGGAGAGCGCUUUUUAACAUCCACACAUCCGUAUUUGGUCCAAGAGAUUUAUUACUAUGUCUAAGGAGCUUUUUCUGGCAAGCAAAAUGGGUUUCUAUGUAGAUUUUUUUUCUCUUUUUUUGCACCGGAAUAUUCUAAGCAAACCUUAUUUCUUUUAAAGAUGAAGCAUGGCAACUUUUGGAAGCUCUUUAUGUCAUGAAAAUUGGAGUUUAAAAUGACAGAGUAUGACUCUGUUUCAUCCUAACCACUAUAACUUUAAAACAUUUGGAAAAAUCCAGACAUUUUCCGCCUUGGCAGGCAUUGGUCAGUUACUGGUAUGAAGGUAUAUCGAGGUUUUAAAAUGUUACUUUAGACUGAUAAGGCGAAACCAGGCCAUUUAAGUGAGUGUGUGUGUGUGUGUGUGUGAUGGAGCUGUGGUUGGAAUAUCCAUGUUCACAGCCAAAGAAUAACUUCAUACAGAUGAAACAAAAAGUCUGCAAGCAUCCUUGGGCCAGAUACAGCAGUCAAGGUACAUUAAAUCUGUAAAAGGUUGUGGUUUCAAAACCACAAAAAACAAUUUAUCCUUUUAAAGUGGUGUAAAAGUCAUCUUUAAGGGUAACUUCUUAGGUUCUUUUGGAGCAGAGAAGUUCAAUGUGUGAAAAAACCAAGAUGUACAAAUGACUUCUAUCACUAUAGCAACUUUUUUAAAAGUACAGAUGGAGAAUCUGUUAAGCAACAGAAAGCAGGCCAAGGACUCUGAUUAUAGCCUGAUUUAGUAACAAGCUAAUCUCAGUAUGCACUCAAAACUAAUGCUACAUUUAUUAGGUGUUUAUUUUGCAUUUCUACUUUACAAAACUAUUUUUAUUAAAGAGUUAUAUUUGUUAAGCAGUAGUAGUUUUUCAGGAACACUGGCGAUGCACCGAGCCACUUUUUUUCCACUUCCGACACCGAUGCAGACAUCUGAGGUUAAGUGUCGGCCGAUACCGAUCCGAUCAGAAAACCAGUUCAAUUAAAAAGUUUCCUUUUUUAAACAGACAUAAAUCUACUAAGUUGCAAAUUUAUUUGAUAACUCCACAUCAAGUACCAAACACUUAAGUAUUAUGGAUCGUUCACAUUGUCACGGAUACCAAUCUAUAAUUUUUUUUUUCAAAAUUGAGACCAAUAUAGAUAUUAUCAGAUUGGUACAUCUUUAGUGCAUUCCACUUUUUGCUCAAUUACCGUUGGAAAUAUGCAAACCUCCCUGACCUCUGUGACCCCGAGAGGAUACCUGAUUUUACAAGGAGAAAAGAGAACGUCAUGUAAACAGGAGUCAAGAUGUUUCCCCAAAAAGACAAAAAACCAAGUCUCGUGUUUGAGUUUAAAGUGCAGGUUUGUGUUUGACUUCUUUUAAACCCUCUCUGCCAUGAUUCAAACAACGCUUAAAUUCUUUUUACAGGAAAGGUUUGACAAAAAAUCCAUUUUUCAUGUCUCGUUUUGCGUCUUGCCAACUCGAAGCAACGGCCCGGCUUCCAUUCCAGCAGCUGCAUGCACAUACGUUCGGUGUCAAGCCUGUUUUUUCUCCAGUCAUUUUCCUGUCUGCCUCCCCGCUAUCAUCUGUCAGAUUGUGAGAGUUAAAAAAAGAAAAAACCUAAAGAAAAAAAAACAACAAAACAAUAUUUCAGUGGAAAUGCUGUAACCGCUACAGCAAUUUUUAAGCAACGGCACAAAGCACAGUGACAAACGCAUGCAAAUUGAGAACACAAGUCUUUGUAAUGUGGAGCACAAUGAGCACAUGGAGGCUGAAUGAUGGCAGCAAUAAAAAGCUAGCUGUGAGGAAUAAAUGAAAAUAUAUACAAAAAAAAAGAAAAGUCAGGAAUGUGCUCAUUGCCAAAGCUCACUGGAAAAGGAUCAGUGGAGUAAAAAAAAGGG